UUUGCUAUUGUAAAGAUGUUGUGUUUUUCCCCUUUUUAUAGCUGUGUGUAUAACCUCAGACAUCUUCCCUGGACAUGUUGGCAUCUUUGUUCUUUUACCCGUUUCUCUCAAACAGUACAGUGUAUAAUUGUUUACUGUAAUUCUUAUGUUGUGUUUG